rnacentral:rRNA from 1 species
UGGGGAAUUUUGGACAAUGGGCGAAAGCCUGAUCCAGCAAUGCCGCGUGUGUGAAGAAGGCCUUCGGGUUGUAAAGCACUUUUGUACCGGAAAGAAAUCCUUGGCUCUAAUACAGUCGGGGGAUGACGGUACCGGAAGAAUAAGCACCGGCUAACUACGUGCCAGCAGCCGCGGUAAUACGUAGGGUGCAAGCGUUAAUCGGAAUUACUGGGCGUAAAGCGUGCGCAGGCGGUUUGCUAAGACCGAUGUGAAAUCCCCGGGCUCAACCUGGGAACUGCAUUGGUGACUGGCAGGCUAGAGUAUGGCAGAGGGGGGUAGAAUUCCACGUGUAGCAGUGAAAUGCGUAGAGAUGUGGAGGAAUACCGAUGGCGAAGGCAGCCCCCUGGGCCAAUACUGACGCUCAUGCACGAAAGCGUGGGGAGCAAACAGGAUUAGAUACCCUGGUAGUCCACGCCCUAAACGAUGUCAACUAGUUGUUGGGGAUUCAUUUCCUUAGUAACGUAGCUAACGCGUGAAGUUGACCGCCUGGGGAGUACGGUCGCAAGAUUAAAACUCAAAUGAAUUGACGGGGUCAUAGCUGUUUCCU